UGAGGAACAUGACCUUCGGUCGGGGGAGUAGCCGGCCCAACGGCCGGGUAAUACCGCGUACGACCACAUGGGGACAUCCCUGAGUGGUGAAAGCAGCAAUGCGCCGAUGGAGUGCCUCGCGGCCUAUCAGCUAGUUGGUGAGGUAACGGCUCACCAAGGCAACGACGGGUAGCUGGUCUGAGAGGAUGGCCAGCCACAUUGGGACUGAGACACGGUCCAGACCUNUACGGGAGG
rnacentral:rRNA from 1 species